rnacentral:rRNA from 1 species
UGGCUCAGAACGAACGCUGGCGGCGCGUUUAAGCAUGCAAGUCGAGCGGCAAGGGCCUUCGGGCCCCUAGAGCGGCGGACGGGUGAGUAACACGUGGACAAUCUGCCCCCCGGCCCGGGAUAGCCCAGGGAAACCUGGAUUAAUACCGGAUGAGACGGGACCCGCGAUGGCGGGAUCCGGGAAAGGCGCUGCGGCGCCGCCGGGGGAUGAGUCUGCGUCCCAUUAGCUAGUUGGUGGGGUAGAGGCCUACCAAGGCGAUGAUGCGUAGCCGGACUGAGAGGUCGAACGGCCACAUUGGGACUGAGACACGGCCCAAACUCCUACGGGAGGCAGCAGUAGGGAAUUUUCGGCAAUGGGGGAAACCCUGACCGGGCAACGCCGCGUGAAUGAAGACGUUAAUUUCGGUAUGUAAAGUUCUUUUAUUAAGGAAGAAUAUCACGGAUAGGAAAUGAUCUCGUGAGUGACGGUACUUAAUGAAUAAGCCCCGGCUAACUAUGUGCCAGCAGCAGC